rnacentral:lncRNA from 10 species
ACGGGCAAGAAAGGGCCCAGGCAUUUGCAUCAUUACCCCCAGACAACAGCUUCAUUAGGCUGAAAGGGAGGUUUGCAGCCUCUCGAGCUCCGAGCUCCGCCACUGACCUGGGCCUCUCACUUUCCCAUUGUCUGUAGGCUCCAAGGCUCUCGCUCUAAACCAUAUGGUCCAUUUGGGCAUCUCACACUGCCUUCCAGGGAAAGCAGGCCUUGGGAAGCACUUGGGGCAAGUUAGAGGCCUGCUGCAAGAUCCAGGCCAGGCAGCGGUAAGAAGACUGGCUGGCGACACGAUUCCUUUUUUCCCGCCCACGUCAGCUCCUAGUUCCUGGCGUGGUGGUCACCAAGGACUGUAGGACCUUGCCCCGAGGGUCCCAGGAAUGUGGAUGGUGUGGGGUAGAUCGUCAUUGCAGGCCCCAAAUCCGUGUCAGGGGCUCGGGAGCCAGGCGCACUCCCCGCCCGCAGCCAGACGGAGGAGGCAGGCCGGGUGCUGGCGCGGCCGCGGUUAUCCUGCCGGAUAACAAGGAUUAGUGCGUUGGGGACGUUUGAAGCCGUGUCUGUGCUCACGUGGCUGGAGGCCGCGGCGCGGUCGCCUCUCGUGCGGCCCUAAUCCCCUCACGCGGCUCCGGGCGAGCCGGCCCCAUCGGGGAACUGGAACUUGCUGGCCCAGAGUCCCGGCUCUCGCUCCACGCGGGCGCGGGGUCAGGGCGCCCACGCGGCAGUGCCCACGCGUCCCCCCGCGCGCCCCGCCGGGUUCUCCGAGGCCCCCGCCGUAGGAAGAGCCACGGCGCUAGGGUCGUUUGCUCAAGACUUGGGGGGAAAUCCCCUUCUUCCAGCCUAGGAGCCUUUAUUUGUGGCUGCAUAAAAGAAAUCCAGAAACGCCGGGUCUCCCCAGCCAGAGCAAAACCGAAGUGGCGGCGGCGACGGCGGCGGCAAGGGUGGGGGCGCGGCCGGCGUCCCAAAGAGAUGCAAAGUGAUAAAUACAUUGUUUAGAGGCUGCCCGCUCGGUCCGUCCCUUGGGGGCAUAGAAAAUGAGGCGCUUUCCUCCCCCUUUAACUCGAGGGGAGUACUAAUAAUUCAUGUAUGUUAUAAUUCUUCACUGCCCCUAAGUAGUCUGGGAAAACUGGAAGAAAAGAAAAUGCCAGAAAGUUAUGGUAAAACUUAAGAUGCGGCCGAAGUCGCUUUCUUUGCCCCUGCUGCGAGUGUUUGAAUAAGAAGAAUGCUCCUGGACUGUAACAAGCAAAAAGAAUGAAGAAGACAAAAGAUUUCCAGAAAAAGGUUUAGCUAGAAGACAAGGCAAGUGAAACUGAAAGGAGAAAAAAAGCUUUUACAAUGGAACAAUAAGUGUACUAAUCGCUUUGAUAUAUUAUACAAGCCCAAAGACCCAAAACAUUGUGUAAUUAUUUAUAAAUGACUUCUCCACUCCUGUGUAUAAUGCAGAGGAAAGAAUAAAACUGCAGGCCACUCUCUAAAUUAUUUCUAAAUAGACCUGGUUCAAAAGAAGGCAGAAGUGUUUGAAAUAAAAUAAUUAAUGGUGGAUUUUAUGGUUGUCUCAUUAAAACAUUUUAAUUACUACAAACAAAAUGCAUUUGUAUUUGAACCCAACAUGAAUUUAUGUAGCUGAGUGUUAAGGUAGAGAAAAGCAAAAAGAAAACACUUAGCAAUUUUUGUGUUUAUUUCUGAAUUCUUUCCAUAAACCAAUAGUCAGAUUCCAUUAGGAUACAUUUCACUGUGACUUCUUUUGUACACACAGAAGAAAACACCCUCACACAGUUUUC